GCUAGCCUCAAGUGAUGAUUAUUGGAGGUAGAGCACUGUUUGGACGAGGGGCCCCUCUCGGGUUACCGAAUUCAGACAAACUCCGAAUGCCAAUUAAUUUAACUUGGGAGUCAGAACAUGGGUGAUAAGGUCCGUGUUCGAAAGGGAAACAGCCCAGACCACCAGCUAAGGUCCCAAAAUAUAUGUUAAGUGGAAAAGGAUGUGGCGUUGCCCAGACAACUAGGAUGUUGGCUUAGAAGCAGCCAUCAUUUAAAGAGUGCGUAAUAGCUCACUAGUCGAGUGACACUGCGCCGAAAAUGUACCGGGGCUAAACAUAUUACCGAAGCUGUGGAUUGUCCUUUGGACAAUGGUAGGAGAGCGUUCUAAGGGCGUUGAAGCAUGAUCGUAAGGACAUGUGGAGCGCUUAGAAGUGAGAAUGCCGGUGUGAGUAGCGAAAGACGGGUGAGAAUCCCGUCCACCGAUUGACUAAGGUUUCCAGAGGAAGGCUCGUCCGCUCUGGGUUAGUCGGGUCCUAAGCUGAGGCCGACAGGCGUAGGCGAUGGAUAACAGGUUGAUAUUCCUGUACCACCUAUAAUCGUUUUAAUCGAUGGGGGGACGCAGUAGGAUAGGCGAAGCGUGCGAUUGGAUUGCACGUCUAAGCAGUAAGGCUGAGUAUUAGGCAAAUCCGGUACUCGUUAAGGCUGAGC
rnacentral:rRNA from 1 species